CCUGGGCAAAGAUAGCAGCAGCAGUAGCUCGUCUAGCAUAACUACGGAGCUCUCUUUCGUGGGAGACCUUCUCAAGAAGGGCAUCCCUCGAUAUCUCUCUGGCACUUGCCCCUCUCAAGGACACCUGAUGCUUGCGAGGUUCGUCCAUGGAGCUAAUAUGAGUACGGCAUAUGAUUGAUAAGGGAAAAAGCUUAGAGAUGUCAACGAG
rnacentral:misc_RNA from 1 species